rnacentral:rRNA from 1 species
UACGUAGGAUGCAAGCGUUGUCCGGAAUUAUUGGGCGUAAAGAGCGCGCAGGCGGUGUAUCAAGUCAGAUGUGAAAUGUCCCGGCUUAACCGGGAAGGGUCAUUUGAAACUGGUAGACUAGAGUACAGCAGAGGAUAGCGGAAUUCCCGGUGUAGUGGUGAAAUGCGUAGAUAUCGGGAGGAACACCAGUGGCGAAGGCGGCUAUCUGGGCCGAAACUGACGCUGAGGCGCGAAGGCUAGGGGAGCAAACAGG